CAGUCGCCGCGGUAAUACGGAGGGGGCUAGCGUUGUUCGGAAUUACUGGGCGUAAAGCGCACGUAGGCGGCUUUGUAAGUUAGAGGUGAAAGCCCGGGGCUCAACCCCGGAAUUGCCUUUAAGACUGCAGAGCCAGCAGGUGAGAGAGGUGAGUGGAAUUCCGAGUGUAGAGGUGAAAUUCGUAGAUAUUCGGAAGAACACCAGUGGCGAAGGCGGCUCACUGGCCCAUACUGGACGCUGUGGUGCGAAAGCGUGGGGAGCAAACAGGAUUAGAUACCCCAGUAGUCCCUGUCUCUUAUAC
rnacentral:rRNA from 1 species